rnacentral:rRNA from 1 species
GAUGAACGCUGGCGGCGUGCCUAAUACAUGCAAGUAGAACGCUGAAGGAGGAGCUUGCUCUUCUGGAUGAGUUGCGAACGGGUGAGUAACGCGUAGGUAACCUGCCUGGUAGCGGGGGAUAACUAUUGGAAACGAUAGCUAAUACCGCAUGACAACAGUUAUUGCAUGAUAACUGUUUAAAAGGGGCAACUGCUCCACUACCAGAUGGACCUGCGUUGUAUUAGCUAGUUGGUGAGGUAACGGCUCACCAAGGCGACGAUACAUAGCCGACCUGAGAGGGUGAUCGGCCACACUGGGAAUGAGACACGGCCCAGACCCCUACGGGAGGCAGGAGUGGGGAAUUUUCGGCAAAGGACGGAAGUCUGACCGGACAAGGCCGGGGGGGUGAAGAAGGGUUUCGGAUCGUAAAGCUCUGUUGUAAGAAAAAAACGGGUGGGGGAGGGGAAAGUUCACACUGUGGCGGUAUUUUCCCAAAAAGGGGCGGCUAACUACGU